CCUACGGGGGGCAGCAGUGGGGAAUAUUGCACAAUGGGGGAAACCCUGAUGCAGCAACGCCGCGUGAGUGAAGAAGUAUUUCGGUAUGUAAAGCUCUAUCAGCAGGAAAGAAAAUGACGGUACCUGACUAAGAAGCCCCGGCUAACUACGUGCCAGCAGCCGCGGUAAUACGUAGGGGGCAAGCGUUAUCCGGAUUUACUGGGUGUAAAGGGAGCGUAGACGGUUUUGCAAGUCUGAAGUGAAAGCCCGGGGCUUAACCCCGGGACUGCUUUGGAAACUGUAGAACUAGAGUGCAGGAGAGGUAAGUGGAAUUCCUAGUGUAGCGGUGAAAUGCGUAGAUAUUAGGAGGAACACCAGUGGCGAAGGCGACUUACUGGACUGUAACUGACGUUGAGGCUCGAAAGCGUGGGGAGCAAACAGGAUU
rnacentral:rRNA from 1 species